rnacentral:rRNA from 1 species
CAGUCGCCGCGGUAACACAGAGGGUGCAAGCGUUAAUCGGAGUUACUGGGCGUAAAGGGCGCGUAGGCGGUUAUAUAAGUGAGAUGUGAAAUCCCUGGGCUUAACCUAGGAACUGCAUCUUAUACUGUAUGGCUAGAGUAUUGUAGAGGGUAGUGGAAUUUCCGGUGUAGCGGUGAAAUGCGUAGAGAUCGGAAGGAACACCAGUGGCGAAGGCGGCUACCUGGACAAAUACUGACGCUGAGGCGCGAAAGCGUGGGGAGCAAACAGGAUUAGAUACCCCCGUAGUCCCUGUCUCUUAUAC